GCCAGCCGCCCGUUGCCAGUUCUGCGCGUAUUGGAGCUGGAGUGAGCCUUCCAGGAAUUUUGGCUGCCAAAUGUGGUGCAGAAGUAAUACUGUCAGACAGCUCAGAACUGCCUCACUGUCUGGAAGUCUGUCGGCAAAGCUGCCAAAUGAAUAACCUGCCACAUCUGCAGGUGGUAGGACUAACAUGGGGUCAUAUAUCUUGGGAUCUUCUGGCUCUACCACCACAAGAUAUUAUCCUUGCAUCUGAUGUGUUCUUUGAACCAGAAGAUUUUGAAGACAUUUUGGCUACAAUAUAUUUUUUGAUGCACAAGAAUCCCAAGGUCCAAUUGUGGUCUACUUAUCAAGUUAGGAGUGCUGACUGGUCACUUGAAGCUUUACUCUACAAAUGGGAUAUGAAAUGUGUCCACAUUCCUCUUGAGUCUUUUGAUGCAGACAAAGAAGAUAUAGCAGAAUCUACCCUUCCAGGAAGACAUACAGUUGAAAUGCUGGUCAUUUCCUUUGCAAAGGACAGUCUCUGAAUUAUACCUACAACCUGUUCUGGGACAGUAUCAAUACUGAUGAGCAACCUGGCACACAAACUAUGAGCAGACCACUUCAGCUUGAGAAUGCAGUGGGUCUGAAGAUGGUCAAGUCUGUUUGCCUUAGAUUUUGAUGUCACCUAGACAACACUUAAACUCAUAUGAAACAAAAAUUAAAAUACGUAUUACAAGU
rnacentral:lncRNA from 1 species